GGGGGGGGGGGGGGGGGGGGGGGGGGGGGGGGGGGCGAGGGGGCGGGUCGGGGGUGGGGGCGGGGGGGGGGGUGGCGCGGGGGAACGGGCCUUUGGGGUCGGAAUAGGUCCUGGAAACGGGGGGGACUGCCGAAUGUGCCCUUCGGGGGGAAGAUUUAUCGCCUGUAGGGGGGCCCGCGUCUGAUUAGCUCGUUGGUGAGGUAAUGGCUCACCCAGGCGACGCUCCGUAGCUGGUCGGAGAGGAUGACCAGCCACACUGGGACUGAGACACGGCCCAGACUCCGACGGGAGGCAGCAGGGGGGAAUCUUGCGCAAUGGGCGAAAGCCUGACGCAGCCAUGCCGCGUGAAUGAUGAAGGUCUUAGGAUUGUAAAAUUCUUUCACCGGGGACGAUAAUGACGGUACCCGGAGAAGAAGCCCCGGCUAACUUCGUG
rnacentral:rRNA from 1 species